rnacentral:rRNA from 1 species
UACGUAGGUGGCGAGCGUUGUCCGGAUUUACUGGGUGUAAAGGGCGUGUAGGCGGGUACGCAAGUUGGGUGUGAAAUACCGGGGCUUAACCCCGGGGCUGCAUCCAAAACUGCGAAUCUUGAGUGCCGGAGAGGAAAGCGGAAUUCCUAGUGUAGCGGUGAAAUGCGUAGAUAUUAGGAGGAACACCGGUGGCGAAGGCGGCUUUCUGGACGGUAACUGACGCUGAGGCGCGAAAGCGUGGGGAG